CAUAUAGGUGAUUGCAUUAAGUAUGUAGUUUAAAAGGGAAGCAGGUGAAAGUCCUGAACGGUCCCGCCGCUGUAAUGAGGAGAGGUUUUACUAUUACCACUGGUUUCUCGGGAAGGUGUAAAACAUUUAUGAUCCUAAGUCAGAAGACCUGCCUAUAGGUAU
rnacentral:ncRNA from 1 species